AGUGAACGCUGGCGGUAGGCCUAACACAUGCAAGUCGAACGGCAGCACAGUAAGAGCUUGCUCUUACGGGUGGCGAGUGGCGGACGGGUGAGGAAUACAUCGGAAUCUACUUUUUCGUGGGGGAUAACGUAGGGAAACUUACGUUAAUACCGCAUACGACCUACGGGUGAAAGCAGGGGAUCUUCGGACCUUGCGCGAUUGAAUGAGCCGAUGUCGGAUUAGCUAGUUGGCGGGGUAAAGGCCCACCAAGGCGACGAUCCGUAGCUGGUCUGAGAGGAUGAUCAGCCACACUGGAACUGAGACACGGUCCAGACUCCUACGGGAGGCAGAAGUGGGGAAUAUUGGACAAUGGGCGCAAGCCUGAUCCAGCCAUACCGCGUGGGUGAAGAAGGCCUUCGGGUUGUAAAGCCCUUUUGUUGGGAAAGAAAAGCAGCAGGUUAAUACCCCGCUGUUCUGACGGUACCCAAAGAAUAAGCACCGGCUAACUUCGUG
rnacentral:rRNA from 1 species